rnacentral:lncRNA from 1 species
AAUUUAGGUAAAUACUCUUGUUUCUUUAGGCAUGACCUCAGUUGGUGUCAAGAUUUCAAAAGCCCAUGUAAUACGUCACACAUUCCUGACUCAAAAUCCUCGCCUCCCAUGUAAAGGGGUUGCACGUUACAAGGAGCCUGGAAGAAACGGCCGGGGCACACUCUGAAGGAACAGAUCCACAAAAAAGAUUCAAAAUGUCAAUAACGUCGUCAACCCAUAAGUGUGGAAUUCUCAACUCCUUCAUGUAGAUGAUUUUUCAGGAUGCUGAUGUAUUUGAAGUAGAGGAUGAGUGGCAUGGUGCGGUGUGAAGUCAUGCAGGUGGGAGGUUACCUCCGAGAGACUCUCAAGCAGGGGAAGAAGAAAGACCCCAGGCAUGGAUGAAACCAGCAGAGCAGGGAGCCAACACGAAACAGGGUUGCUGGGCAAAGUGGGGCCUGACCACGAGAUGGGAGCAAGGAGUUCAGGAUUGGAAAGGAACCCGAAUUGAAUACUUCGGCCACCGCAAGCGGGAAGUGGUAAAUUAAGAAAAAUAAAUCCUGAUGAUAAUGAAUUUAUUCGGCUGUA